rnacentral:rRNA from 1 species
UGGGGAAUUUUGGACAAUGGGCGCAAGCCUGAUCCAGCCAUGCCGCGUGAGUGAAGAAGGCCUUCGGGUUGUAAAGCUCUUUCGGCGGGGACGAAACGGUUCGUGACAACACCACGGACUAAUGACGGUACCCGCAUAAGAAGCACCGGCUAACUACGUGCCAGCAGCCGCGGUAAUACGUAGGGUGCAGGCGUUAAUCGGAAUUACUGGGCGUAAAGCGUGCGCAGGCGGUUUGUUAAGACAGGUGUGAAAUCCUGGGGCUCAACCCCAGAACUGCCUUUGAUACUGGCUGUCUCGAGGUCGAGAGAGGUUGGUGGAAUUCCUAGUGUAGAGGUGAAAUUCGUAGAUAUUAGGAAGAACACCAGUGGCGAAGGCGGCCAACUGGCUCGAUACUGACGCUGAGGUGCGAAAGCGUGGGGAGCAAACAGGAUUAGAUACCCGAGUAGUCCCUGAGCGGGCUGGCAAGGCGCAU